rnacentral:misc_RNA from 1 species
UCACGCCCGAAGUCAUUACCCCAACCUUUUGGAGGGGGAUGCCUAAGGUAGGACUGGUGACUGGGGUGAAGUCGUAACAAGGUAGCCGUACCGGAAGGUGUGGCUGGAUCACCUCCUUUUUAGGGAGACCUAAUCCACUCAGCCAUCGAAAACAAAACGUGAUUAGAUACUGAAUUGGUCAUCACCUAGGUCGUUCGAGAUUGGUUAAAAUCUUUCAAAGUAUUAUCAUUUCGGUUUAUUAAAUACCUUAUCAACUCGGAAAGAAACAGCACCUGACAGGAGUCAGAAUGCUGGUUUAAGACCAGCCAGAACCUUGAAAACUGCAUAAGAGAAAGAAAAAACCAGACAAGUCAGUAGAUUUGUCGGAAGAUUUGUGGUCAAGCGAAUAAGGGCUAAUGGUGGAUACCUAGGCACACAGAGG